CUCCGCCCAAAUUCACACGUUGAGGUCCUAACCCCCAGCAUCUCGGACUGUGUGGUUAUUUGUAGAAGAAUUCUUUAUAGAGGCGAGUAAGUUAAAAUGACAUCAUUAGGGUGGGCCCCACUCCAAUCUGACUGCGUCCUUAUGAGAAGAGGAGAUCAGGACACAGACACAUGGAGGGAUGGUCGUGUGAGGACACGGGAGAAAACGACCAUCUACAGGCCAAGGAGGGAGACCUCAGAGGAACCAGCCCUGUCCCCACCUGGAUCUGGGGCUCCCAGCCUCCAGAACUGUGAGGAGAUAAAUGUCAGCUCUUCAAGCUGCCCAGUGUGUGGUACUUUGUUGCGGGACCUGAGCUGACUAUGAUGGGGGUAAGGCAGUCGGAAGCAGCAUGACUUCAAUUUAAAGCCCUACAGAUGCUGCCAGCUCCAGGCCCAGGGUGACAGGCACAAAGAGAGUGCUGAUGAACACGUGGGCACUAUGAUCGGCCAACAGUUGGGGCUGUGGAUACAGAAACUGCAUCACUGCCAAAAAAAGACAAGGGCCACCUCGCAGUGCCCCACCACAUGCCUUGCUCUUAUCAACCCCUCCUACACCUAGGAAACCACUCUCAUCGGCAACUGCGGCCCAACUCUCUUCCCACGUGAACUGUGGACACAAAGGAAGAGAACUGCCAUGAUGCUCGUCUGCAAACACUCCUUCCACCGGACCACAAGUACCCGGGAGAGAUUGCUGGCACCUUCCCCACCCCCAACAUCCACCCUCCCUUUCUUCUGAGGAACAGAACUCCAAUUUUAUUCAGGGUGGACAUAUGCCCAGCUAAAGGACUGCCUUUUCCCGUCUCUUGGCCCUCGUGGCCCUCAUGUGAUGUUCUGCCGAAGAGAUGUCCAUGGGGAUGUGUUGUGGGGAUUCUGGGAAGUCUCCUUCAAAGGGAGGAGGCACUUCUCUCACAUCCUCCUGCUUCUUUCUUUCCGUGGCCUGGAAUGUGGAUGCCACGGCUGGAGGUUCAGCAGCCAUCUUGUUCCAUGAGUUGACUCUGAGAAGAGAAGCCACAUGUGACAGAACAGAAAAAUAGAAGCAUGGGGGUCUGAUGACUUCGUGAAGCUGCCAUGUGUGCCCUGGAAUGCUUGCUUUCAGACAGCUUCUCUGUGAUGGAAACAAAAGCCCUGAGUGAGCUCCUCUGUCAGCGGCUCUGGAGCUCGGUGCCCGGCUAAUCACCCAGAGAGGGCCCUCCUGGAACCCAGGCGGCCGCGGACCUUGGAAGUGGUGAGGAGAGCCCUGUCGGGAACGUGGUGAGCAGCUUAAUUCCCUUCUUCUGUGUUUUCUUUUCCCGGCUUUGGCUCGAUCUUAAUCCACGUUAGCAUUUCCACGUGUUUGCUCUGUAAAACGAGUGGCUCUGGAAGUCGGUUGGAGCUUUGCAAAUCGGAAAAAUAUGUGGGGUGAAGGAAGGGGUGAGACCCGGGUGAGACUAGACCUGGGCAGGGGUCCGGGAUCCACGGCCUCAGCAUGGCCUGCGGGUCAGCCUGGGGUGGGGUGGGGGCGUGGAAGAGACCCCGAGGGCAUCCCGGAGGGUCAGCCAUGCAGGAGCCAUGAGCCCAGCUGGCUCUCGCUGAGUGUUGCUGAUCCACUGAAGGUGUCUGUGGUUGAACCCGACGACCUGUUUCAAAGUAGCAAGCUGCGCAUGCGCAGCUGGGCGUGGCAUCCUCCAGGACGCUCUCCUUCCCUCUCUGAGAGGCUGGAACGCUUACACGUGCUGCCAGGACCCGGAGGCGGAAGCGGAGGUAAACCCGGGGCUGCUCUGGUCUGGCCACGCCCCAGGGGCGGGGAUUUAAGAGGCCUGGUCCUGGGAGGUAGUCUUCCGCCGCAGGCUUCCGUCUGGGGGUCCAUGUCCUGGCUGAGGCUCAGUGCUGGGGGCCUGGCUCCAUCUCCCCUCCCAUCCCACCCGGGACAAAUCUGACUCCGCAGCUUGCCCAGUGCUGAUCCAGGCGAGAAGCUCUUGGCGCGGAUGUUCCCAGGACUGGCGUAACCUGAAAGACAGGUGCUCUGCCUUUGGGGUAGUGGCCCACCCUGAGCUGCCUUCGUCUCCAGGAGGGCGGGGGGGCGGGGUGGAACCCCCCUUCCCCAGCCUCUUCCUCGCUCCUGUGUGCGCACCGACACGGCUUCAGACUCACCACCUGGGCCCUCGGUUCGAAGCUCCUUUUAAAACACAGAGUCCCGUGAGUGACCAGAUAGCACCGGUUUGCAGAGUUUAAAAGUUUUUUUUGAAUGUGUGCACAGCUCAUCAUUGCUCUGCUGAGCAGCCUCCGGAACGAGGAUGGAGCCCAGGACGCCCCUGCCCUGUGGCGAGGGCAGCCGUCCCUCACGCAGCAGCUCUCAGCCUGUCUCGGCAGUGGUUAGAAUGGCCCGCGGAGCUUUCCGUAAGCCCGAUGCCCAGGCCGCACCCCGGGCCGAGCUUCACCGUGGGGCGCGGCUCCCAGCGACCUCCCCACUGGGGGUCUCUCCUGGCACAGCCAUGGGCGGGUGGGCAUCGGAGCAGCUCCCGGCUGGCAGCUCGCAAAGCCCGCCUUUCGAAGAGCCCAGCCUGUGGCCGGGGUCUGCAGCCAGGACACCUGGGCCCAUCUGGGGUCUUCGCUGAUGAGCAAGCUCGGGCAAGGGCUUGUUCUGAGUGGGGUCCUCACCUGUGCCCCGGAGGACAGGAGCCCCUUGCAGGCUUACUGCGAAGACAGAAUGUGAGAAGAGCUAGGGGGACGUGCAGAUGCUGUGCAGAGGCUGCUUCAAGGAUGAGCCUGCUCUGCUGCUGGGGAGAGUGACCCCCCCCCCUUCACCUUCUAAUCUUUUCAUAGACUCCGGCUUCCUGAAGCACUUUUAUUUUCUUCAAAGGAUGCUCAAUAUUUUCUCUCUCCAGGUCACUUUAUUCAGGCCCUUGUCGCCUUGCCCCAUAAAUUCCCCACCUUCCCAGCUCAAUCCUGGAGAUGGAAUAGCCCUUGUCCUCGGCUCUCUCCUUUCUCUGCUCCCGCACCCCCCCCACCUGACCUUUCCCAUCUCCUGAACUUGGGUUUUCUGCUUUCUUUGAGGCCUUACCCCCAGUCUGGUUCUUGUCCAGGUGAAGUUGCUGGUUCGUUUUAAUUACCCUGCUUUUUCCCAGGGUGUUUCUAGUCCCUGGAACUUUCUUCCCCCAGUUCCAAACCUCUGCCUGAUCUGACUUUGGUGCUCCCCCACAGGGUUCUGUCGGGGGCACUAAAAUACCCUGCAUGGGCCGUGACCUGUUUGGGGCAGUUCACUGAACUGUCCUCAGGACCCGCUGCUCGCUGUCCCUUCCUUUCUUCAUAACCCCAGGGGACCUUCGGAGGCCAGACAGACAGUCAAUGCCAUGCGUGUGUGGGCAUGUCUGUGUGCACGUGUGUGCACGUGUGUGUCAUUUGCACAUAGUGAGUUGCUUCUUCCCUUUCGCCUGCCCGUGUUUCAUUCCUGGUGGGCCGAGCAUGGCACAGUUUUAGGUGAGAUGCCCACCCAUCUCCCAGCGAGAGAACAGAAGAAGGAAUACAUGGAUUUCGGCGGGAUUUGGUCCAAGAAAUCACGAGUGAGAAUUUCACAUAACUCUGCAGGGAAAGAUUUGUAUCCAAGAA
ensembl:lncRNA